UACGGAGGGGGCAAGCGUUGUUCGGAGUCACUGGGCGUAAAGGGCGCGUAGGCGGUGCGUAAAGUCAGGCGUGAAAGCCCCGGGCUUAACCUGGAACUUGCGCUUGAUACUGACGUGCUAGAGAACGGGAGAGGAUGGCGGAAUUCCCAGUGUAGAGGUGAAAUUCGUAGAUAUUGGGAAGAACACCGGUGGCGAAGGCGGCCAUCUGGACCGUUUCUGACGCGUGAGGCGCGAAAGCGUGGGGAGCAAACAGG
rnacentral:rRNA from 1 species